GAGGACAGUUGAUGAAACUUUCUUCUAUCAAAGAGGAGAAUAAAGAGCAGAGAGGAGGUAAACAUCCCUGUCCUGUCAGUCCAUUUCGGAUACAAAUGCACACCCCUGGAGACCCUGAGGACAGGUACUGUAGAGAUAUUUCCAUUCAGCAGCAUUCAUCACCUAUUACCGUCAGCUAACAAUUGUGGUUGAUAUUGCUUUACCUGUUGUAGACCCAUUAGGCCUGCGGUCAAAGAAAGAGAGAAGUCAUAUGAGGAAUUUGUGGAGGAACAGCAGAAUGUGGAUCCAGAUGUAAAUCAAAUCAGUAAGCAGAUGUUCAAAAUGAACACUCUAUGUAAGCAGCUUGAAAGCUUCAAGGAUAGCAGGGAGGCCAGGAAGGUGGCAGAGAUGAGGUGCUUCCUGAAGAAAGGGGACGGUGUAUCCAGAAUAAAGAAGACUAAGCACAGAGUACAGCAGAAGAACCAGAGAAGAACCUCCCUCUCCCUAAGCCUGCAGCCCAGGAAGGUGACAUCUGGCAGCCGGCAGAGGCGCUCAUCAGCCCCGUCGCUACAGCUCUGUGACAGGUCUGGACCCAGGGCCAAGGCUUUAAUGAUCACCCAGAGGAUCAGCCCUGAUCUGACUGAGUCCUGGGAACAAACAACACCAACUGCCACAACAGAGAAAGACAACAGACUUAAUCAAUUAGUCAGACAGGAAAGGGCAUCAGUGCCCAGAGAAACUGAACAAAGCAAGGCCACUGAUGACACUGCAUCUAGGGCUGAUUCUAAAGAGAGACAAGAUAUCUUGGGUGUUACAUCACCCAAUCAGCUUGUGAGAAAACCAUGUGUGACUUAUGUGGGGCCAAGUGAAGAAAUGGCAACACAGAAUCCAAUGUAUCCUGCUAUAAAGCACCUUGUCUUUAAACAAUGUGAGUUGAAGGAGUCACAUUUGGUAAUGCAGCCUUUUGACAGUGCCCCUACACAGCUAAAGAACUUGAGCCAACCCACUGUCAAAGCUCAGGACUUAAGUAUUGGCUUCAAGACAGUCAAUGACCACAUAGUAAGAGUCACUGACAAUAAGAUGUCCAGGACUAUGGAUGAGGAAAGUGACAGUCCAUUCCACAAGUCCAACACAUCCAAAUCUCAAAGCGGGUCUGCGGAUGUGAUGUCGCUCCCGUCUCUGAGUAGCCCAAGCAGCGAUGAGGACGACCACCACCCUAACUCUCAGUGCCGACAGCAGCCCGCCCGUCCCUCUCCUCUGUUCGGACACAAAGACCAGAACCUGGACCUGUCUGAUGGGGACUACAAAAGCCAUGCGCCCAGCGAGGCUUGGGAGAGCCGGCCCUUCAGAACCGAUCCCAUGCACGCAGCCACUCCCCGCCGGCCCAGUCACCACCGCCAUUCGUCCGGCUCCAACAGCAACGGUGACACCAAGCUCAGGCAUACGAACUGGAAUCAAACAAGACCACGUCCACUAAACCCUCAGUGUACAGAGCAAACAAGCACAUGGAUAGACCAUUCACUGGGGAUCCAAAACAGGGGAACAGGCAGCAGGUCACAAUGUCCCUCUGCAGAGCUCAGAGCCAGCAUGGCCCGUAAAGUAACAUCAACAAUUAAAGACACUCUGAAGAGCAGACAUCACCACAGGUCCACGUGCGCAAAUCAAACCUCAUCAAAGCCACACAGAGUUUGUCUGUUUGGAAUGAAAACACAAAAUAAUCCUGAUUUGCUGGACAUUAUGAAAGGGGAACCAGAAACAGCGAUGGAACGACUCAGGAAAAGAAUGGACCAAAUAGUGUGUGAUGACAGAGAAGAUCAGCACAGUGGUGGUGGAUCUUCAUUCAUCCACACAAAAGGCCGGGUGUUGAACAAUCAGCUGGUUCCUCAUAAACAACACAUUGAUGAGGCUCAGGUAAAGUGA
rnacentral:lncRNA from 1 species